GUACUCGGCACAGAGCCUGUUUGACUAUAUGAAGAAAAUCCAAAAUGAUCUAGGUGCCAUGAAUAACUUUUGUGAGACAUUGCUACAGGUCUUUGAGGAUAACCUGCUGAAUGACAGGGUAUCUGUGCCCUUGCUAAAGAUGCUAGAUCAGAUGCUGGCCAAUGGCUGCUUUGAUAUUUUCACCGCUGAAGAGAACCAUCCGUUUUCUUUGAAGUUACUUACUCUUUGCAAAGAAGAAAUCAAGAAAUCCAAAGACAUUCAAAAACUUCGCUCCAGCAUUGCAGUGUUUUGUGGCAUGAUUCAGUUUCAAGGUGACAUGAGAAAGAAAGUUUUAUUUCAGCUGUUCCUUCUUCUUUGCCAUCCAUUUCCUGUGGUAAGUAUUGGAGGUGUUGCCAUA